rnacentral:lncRNA from 1 species
AACUUUUUUAAAUCCCAUUAACAACCACAUACAUAGGUCAAAUAAAUACAAUUGCACACACCCAUAAUUACACAUAUUCAUAUACAAACACACUAAAAACCAUAUACAUACAAUCAAAUACAUAGACUCGAACACAAUUCUUGAAAACUUUGAUUAUUGUUUUUAGAGCCUCGUUAUGCAAUUAGGUAGCUUGGACCUGUAAUUUAACAGCAUUUUGGUAUGAAUAGACGAUCAAUAUAACGAUUAGGAAGAAACUUGAAACUACCAUAAUCUUUUAUUGGAUUUAGGUGACUGGGUAUUUUUUUAAAUCUAAGUUUACUCGAAUGAUUUUACCAUCAUGUUGAAAAGGGCAUUUUCGAUUCGAAUUGCGCAUUAGAGGAAGGUCCAUGGAACCAAAAAGAAAGACAGAUAGAAAAAGAUUUGAAACAUACCACACAUCAGAAUAAAAAAGAAGAUGAAAAUGUUAGGGUUUCUGAUUAAAUUACCUGUGGAUCAUCGCGCCAGUAAAGGAAUCAUCAACAAUAACCUCACAACAAUCUGCACAUUCAAAGGGUAUUUUUUAUAAAUUUGUAAAAUUUGCAGAUAUGAGAGUUGGACCAAAAUCUAAUAUGGUCAAAAUCAGAAGAAAAAAAAUAGUUGAUCAUCUUCUUUUGAAAUUUGUUUUUAAAUCUAAGAAACACAUCCACCAGUACAUCAAUAAUCUACAUUGUCCAUAUGUACCAUAAUGGCUUCCUCUGCUAUCACCGAGCUUCUUCCUAAAUCCAUCCAAGAAUCUACAUUGCCAUUGACAUAUGUGUCUUAGACUAAUCUAAUACAUCUAUGAUGAUUACCUGGGAUUUCAACCUUAUUAUAAAAAAAAUAAGCAUCCGUGAUGGGUUACAAGUUAAAAGAAGACCCACAAAACAAUAAUCGAGAAAAAUCGCAACAACUAUUAAAAUGAAGUUAUGUUUUCAAAUAGAAUUUGCAAGAAAAACAAUCAGGCACAUAAAAUGAAUAAAAAUAUCAAAUAGAAAAAUUACAAGCAUUUAGCCUUGUACAUUAAGAAAAAGCAAGUUUGAUAUUUAACCUGAAAUUGGAUGAAGGAAACGGGCCCUCAAUUCUUCUUUUGGUCCUUGUGUCAUCGAGCACCUUGCUCCUGUCAAUAGUCGAUCCUGAUUAAUCUUCAUCACGAUAAUAAGGAAGAAGGUUAGGGGAGAAGAACAAAUGUAAUAGGAAUCCAUCAUGUUAAUUUCAAAAAUGGUUGCAAUGGUGAAGUUGAAUCACGCUAAAAC